rnacentral:rRNA from 1 species
UACGAAGGGGGCUAGCGUUGCUCGGAAUGACUGGGCGUAAAGGGCGCGUAGGCGGAUGGCACAGUCAGAUGUGAAAUUCCCGGGCUUAACCUGGGGGCUGCAUUUGAUACGUGUGAUCUAGAGUGAGGAAGAGGGUCGUGGAAUUCCCAGUGUAGAGGUGAAAUUCGUAGAUAUUGGGAAGAACACCGGUGGCGAAGGCGGCUCUCUGGGACGGUACUGACGCUGAGACGCGAAAGCGUGGGGAGCGAACAGG